CUCAAAUGUCGCAUUUUCCCAUUAUUGUCAGGGUCACGGUAUAAAAGAUUCAAAUAAUUUGUGCUAACUGAUGUCUUUCAUUACACUAGUUCGUUAAGUGUAAUAGUUUGAACUUGUUAUUUAGACACAGUUAUGUUGAACGAGAGCUCCCCUAUAAGGACUCAGUUCAGUUCUGAAUCUUGUGACGUUACGCAGUCGACGAAAAUCAUCUGACGCAGUGUCCCAUAGCAGUAUUUCGACAGUGUUUCGAUUAAUCACUGUAAUUAGCAAAUUGAUAGCAAGCAGCUCGGAUGCAUUGUCAGUGUCUAGCUUAAUGUUCAUUGUUAGUUAGAGUCUUCCGAGACGUUUCUGAUGUUUAGUAUUGGUUUUAGUAUUCUCAAUUUUGCAGUUAAAAAUACCAAUUUGGAUUGAAGUUAGAAUCGGGGUUGAAUGCGAGAUGCCCGAUUGUAAUUAAAAUAUAAUUUUUGACUGCAGGUUAGGGCUGUAUUAUAGUUAUACUAAGUAAAUAACAGCUGCUUUUAUAUUUUAGACAUGCAAGUUACAUUGAGUUCACUUUGGAUUAAACUUUAUUGGAUAGUGUCACCUGGGGAUCUAAAACAUGUGGCUUCGUUCGAGAUGUCGAUGUUCUUGAUUUUGUUUCAAGUACCAUCGUAAUAAUUGUUAUGAAAGAAUUAAACCGAUUUCAAAUUGGAUUCAAUUGCGGCAAAACUUUGAGGCACAGAAAGCGAGAUGGGCACUUUAUCGCUUUGAGUCGAGUUGCUUGAAAACUGAAUAUAGUUGACAAUAAAUCGAUUUGGCUGGGACAGGGCAUGGGGCACGUUGACAAUGGUCUCCAUUCACGUAAGCCAGGAAAGUAGAAGGUUAACUCAUUCUUAAAUGUUAUCAAAACAAGAAGAACCGUGUUCGCUCGCGAUGUAAUCAAGUGUGGAUGAAUGAGUUUCGUUCGAGAUGUCGACGUUCCUGAUUUUGUUUCAAGUACCAUCGUAUGAAGUGUUAUGAAAGAAUAAAACCGAUUUUAAAUUGGAUUCAAUUGCGGCAAAACUUUGAGGCAAAGAAAGUGUGAUGGGCACAAUAACGCUGUGAGUCGAGUUGCUUGAAAGCUGAACAUAGUUGGCAAUAAAUCGAUUUGGCUGUAACAGGAAAAUUUGGAAUUGGACAUUUUGAAAA